AUUGAACGCUGGCGGCAGGCCUAACACAUGCAAGUCGAGCGGAUGAAGGGAGCUUGCUCCUGGAUUCAGCGGCGGACGGGUGAGUAAUGCCUAGGAAUCUGCCUGGUAGUGGGGGAUAACGUCCGGAAACGGGCGCUAAUACCGCAUACGUCCUGAGGGAGAAAGUGGGGGAUCUUCGGACCUCACGCUAUCAGAUGAGCCUAGGUCGGAUUAGCUAGUUGGUGGGGUAAAGGCCUACCAAGGCGACGAUCCGUAACUGGUCUGAGAGGAUGAUCAGUCACACUGGAACUGAGACACGGUCCAGACUCCUACGGGAGGCAGCAGUGGGGAAUAUUGGACAAUGGGUGAAAGCCUGAUCCAGCCAUGCCGCGUGUGUGAAGAAGGUCUUCGGAUUGUAAAGCACUUUAAGUUGGGAGGAAGGGCAGUAAGUUAAUACCUUGCUGUUUUGACGUUACCAACAGAAUAAGCACAGGCUAACUUCGUG
rnacentral:rRNA from 1 species